rnacentral:rRNA from 1 species
UACGUAGGGGGCAAGCGUUUGUCCGGAUUUAUUGGGCGUAAAGAGCGUGUAGGCGGCUGGGUAGGUCCGUUGUGAAAACUCGAGCUCAACCUCGAGACGCCGAUGGAAACCCUCCAGCUAGAGUCCGGAAGAGGAGAGUGGAAUUCCUGGUGUAGCGGUGAAAUGCGCAGAUAUCAGGAAGAACACCCGUGGCUAAGGCGGCUCUCUAGUACGGUACUGACGCUGAGACCGCGAAAGCGUGGGGAGGCGAACAGG